UCACUGAAAUUAGAAAGAAUGGGUUUAGGGUGGAAGGCAGUUGUUUUGUCUAGGGGCUCUUUACGUUGGAUUCAACGUGGCUCUCUUGCUUUGGUGAGGAAUAGGAGAUGGAGGAUUGAAAGAAGCUCCUGCACUCUCAUCUGUAACCUGUGGACCUUAUUCCCAGCUCAGAGCCUGCUGUGACCUCAUCAGUCCCAUGAGUCCAAGACCCAGAUGUGUGGAAAUGUCACACUUUCUGGCAGUAGCUAAGCGGGUGCCUUCUGGCUCAGGGCCCUCGCACACGUGGACCGAAGUCACAGACGAAGGAAAGUUGAAAGGACAUCACCACAACACCUGUAAAACUGAAUGCUGAGCCUACCACCGAUUUCUUUGGAUCCAUCGCAGGAUAAAGAAAAAAAGCUCAUUCUGGCUCAGCUAGCGAAUACCCAGCGGUGCUGCACUUGCUAGCCUAGAACUACAUUAGCCCACCAUAGCUUAAACGGCACAGAACAAAAGCCAGAAUUAUAAUGAAACUGACCUAUGCAUACAUUUUCAUCGUCCAGCUCUGCAGAAGCAUUUCUGAAGUAGCCCAGCCUGCAUAACUCACAGUGCUGCCCUCUAGUGUUGUGUUUACAGCUCACGCAUAUGACUGUAUUUAGCAGCUCGAUAUAACUGCACCGAUUGGAGUGGCCGAAGCAUUCACAGUCUUGCAAGGAAGAACAGAAAUGUAUACAAAAUGUAUACAGUAGCAGAGUAAUUGCACAUUACAUGCUUGGUUCAAAUGAGGCAUGGGUAAAAAAUGACAGCAUUUGCAUGAUUUUAGCAUAACACACAGGGAUUACAGAUGUUUGGACUGGCAUGGAAACAGCAGCUAUUCCAAGCAGGAUGGCAUGGUCAGACAUCCAUUAUAUGACCAAAGACUGUUUCGUCUUGGCAAGCCAGAUGAAACUGAAACAGCAUUUGCAGUUGUACACCUUUUAGCAAUUGAGAAGAGACAGUUUCUACUGAUUUAAAUGCACCUGGAAAUAGGAAUCAUUAACGCUCUGGCUAGAGUUAUCCAAAGUAAGAAGAAAAUCACGUACAGUAAAUGAAAUGAACCU